rnacentral:rRNA from 1 species
GACGAACGCUGGCGGCGUGCCUAAUACAUGCAAGUAGAACGCAGUUUCGAACGGGUGAGUAACGCGUAGGUAACUGCCUCAUAGCUGGGGAUUACUAAUGGAUACGAUAGCUAAUACCGCAUACUGUGAUCUGGACCUGCGUUGUAUUAUCUAGUUGGUGAGGUAAAGGCUCACCACGGCGACGAUUCAUAGCCGACCUGGGAGGGGGAUCCGCCACCCUGGAACUGAGACACGGCCCAGACUCCUAUGUAGGGAGAGGUAGGGGAUAUUCGGGAAGGGAAGGAAGGCUGACCGAGGAACGCCGGGGGAGUGAGGACGGUUCUCGGAUCGUAAAGCGUAGAUGUUAGAGAAGCGGUAACUAACGAGAAAGGAACGGCUAACUACGUGCCAGCCGCCGCGGUAAUUC